UACGUAGGGAGCAAGCGUUGUCCGGAAUCAUUGGGCGUAAAGCGCGCGUAGGUGGCCUCGUAAGUCCGCUGUGAAAGUCAAAGGCUCAACCUUUGAAAGCCGGUGGAUACUGUGAGGCUAGAGUCCGGAAGAGGCGAGUGGAAUUCCUGGUGUAGCGGUGGAAUGCGCAGAUAUCAGGAGGAACACCAAUAGCGAAGGCAGCUCGCUGGGACGGUACUGACGCUAAGGCGCGAAAGCGUGGGGAGCGAACAGG
rnacentral:rRNA from 1 species